rnacentral:tRNA from 1 species
UCGUCUAAUGGUAGGACGUUGGGUUUUGGUCCCAAAAAUUGGGGUUCGAGUCCCUAUCCCCCAG